UUCCUCUCAGGCUCCCACCUGGAGAGUUUCCAGUAUUCUACCAGUCUAUUCUACAGGAGGAAGAGUCAAGCAGAGGCAAACCCAUUCCAUUCCUAGCUUGGACAGUGGCUAGCUAAUGGAAGGCAAUCUGCUACAAGU
rfam:Ornithorhynchus anatinus chromosome 10, whole genome shotgun sequence.